rnacentral:rRNA from 1 species
GACGUAGGGGGCGAGCGUUGUCCGGAUUUAUUGGGCGUAAAGAGCGUGUAGGCGGUUCGGUAAGUCUGUCGUGAAAUCCUGAGGCUCAACCUUGGACGUGCGAUGGAUACUGCCGGGCUAGAGGAUGGUAGAGGCGAGUGGAAUUCCCGGUGUAGCGGUGAAAUGCGCAGAUAUCGGGAGGAACACCAGUAGCGAAGGCGGCUCGCUGGGCCAUUCCUGACGCUGAGACGCGAAAGCUAGGGGAGCGAACAGG